CAAUAGCGUAUAUUAAAGUUGUUGCAGUUAAAAAGCUCGUAGUUGGAUUUCUGGCAGGAGGAGCCGGUCACACACUCUGUGCGUGAACUCGUGCUGUCUCUGGCCAUCCUCGGGGAGAUCCUGUUUGGCAUUAAGUUGUCGGGCAGGGGAUACCCGUCGUUUACUGUGAAAAAUUAGAGUGUUUAAAGCAGGCUUAUGCCGUUGAAUAUAUUAGCAUGGAAUAAUAAGAUAGGACUUCGGAACUAUUUUGUUGGUUUGCGUUACGAAGUAAUGAUUAAUAGGGACAGUUGGGGGUAUUCGUAUUUCAUUGUCAGAGGUGAAAUUCUUGGAUUUCUGAAAGACGAACUACUGCGAAAGCAUUUACCAAGGAUGUUUUCAUUAAUCAAGAACGAAAGUUAGGGGAUCGAAGACGAUUAGAUACCAU
rnacentral:rRNA from 1 species